GCAUAGUAUUGUUCAAAUAAGUUGAAGAUGUACAAAUUUUCUUAUAAUGGAGAGAAAUUGCAACAUCUUUCUACUUGUUCUUGGCAGUCAACAUGUUUUGUUGUCAGUUGUUUUUACCGCAAUUUUGUUCAUCUCAUAAACCCAUUUGGGUUCCAGGUUUUUUAUUUUGUCUUCUUAUCCUUUCUAGGAUUUUGGGUUCUUAAGGAUUUAAAGCCAAGAACCGAGUUUAGGCCUAGGAACAUAGAUUUGUUUUUCACAUCCGUGUCUGCUAUCACAGUCUCAAGCAUGUCCACAGUCGAAAUGGAAAAUUUCUCCAAUGCGCAAUUAAUCGUUAUGACCAUCUUGAUGUUCAUAGGCGGUGAAAUUUUCACUUCCAUGAUUGGACUUCAUUUAAAGAGGUCCAAGAUUAUAACAUGGAAUAGUGAAGGAAAAGGAACUACUGUUGAUCUCACCAAUUCCGUUGAUCAAAUUCAGUUAAGUAUAGAGCCAGUCCCAGACAAUAGAGCACACCCGCUCGAGCCUCAAAAUUAUGUCUCAUCACCAUAUUAUAACAUGCUUAACUACAAUUCAAUCAAAUUUUUGGGCUUCGUAGUUUUGGGUUAUCUUCUGGUAAUUCAAAUAUUAGGUGUUGCAUCUGUUUUAAUGUAUCUAGCCCUUUUUUCAAGUGCAAAAGAUAUACUAAGAAACAAGGGUAUCAAGGCAUUAACUUUUGCUGUCUUUACAGUAGUUUCAACCUUUGCUAGUUGUGGUUUUGUGCCCACAAAUGAAAACAUGAUAGUUUUUAGCAAGAAUUCAGGGCUUUUGUGGAUUCUUAUUCCCCAAGUCCUUCUUGGGAACACAUUAUUUCCAUCGUGUUUGAGAUUUUUUUUAUGGGUUUUGGGAAAGAAAAUCAAAAAGUCUGAGGCCAAAUACCUGUUGAAGAAUACAACAAAAGUCGGGUACCUCCAUUUGCUCCCCAGCCUGCAUUCAUCGCUCCUAGUAGCCACAGUGCUCGGGUUUAUUCUCACAGGGUUCUUACUAUUCUGCUCUCUGGAGUGGAAUUCAGAAGGUUUGGGUGGACUCAAUACUUAUCAGAAAGUCAUUGGCAUUCUCUUUGAAACAGUUAAUGCAAGGCACAGCGGUGAAACUAUUGUCGAUCUGUCAACAAUCGCACCAGCCAUUUUGGUGUUCUUCGUUGUUAUGAUGUUAGUCUCUCUCUCCCCCUUUGUCACGCGUGUGCAAACAUUUUAUGAGUUCUAUUAGAUGCAACAUAUAAACACAAACAAAAUUAUGUAGCUAAAGCCACGUUCAUGCAUGAAACUGGGUAGUUGAUAGUGACUUAAAGAUUCAAUACAUGUAAAUUCGACUUUUGCAAAGGAAAGAACCAUACAAGAUCUACGAAAUUGUUAAUUGACCUGAAUUCUUCUUUCAACCACCACUCCAUUCUGUACUAUAAUUAAUUUCAUCUACCCGACUCCUAAAUACACCAGAAACUGAUUUUAAUUGGUAACUCGAAUCGAACUGAAAAAACUCGAAUAGUAUCAUUUUCGGCUGACAAUUUCUAAGCAAGGUCUUUUGUUAUGAAUUGCCAAAUCUAGAGAAAUAUAUUGUAGUCAGUUUGAGUGAAUUGCUUCUCUGGUUCGAGAAAAGAAAUUAUUAGAUAUGAUGCGAAUAUCUCUAACACAUACACACACCCAAAGAAGUCAUUUUAAUUUUUUAUAGUUUCCAAGUUGACACUGACUGCAUAUUUUAAUGUGUCCUUUGGGUUAGAAUAAUGAUGCAACUCUUAAGCCUCCUAUUUGAUGGGGUUUGUUUAAUUUUUUUUAUUUAUUUUGUACAUACUCAUUUUCAAUUAUACAUUCACACAAAUAAAAUAUUCUGCACUUAAAUUUAAAUUUUUUCUUACUUUUUAACCUCACAUUUUUCCAAAAAAUCCACUAUUCAAAAACAUUAUUUUGACAAAACAAUGGCCAUUAAACGGGAGCUAAAUUGUAUGUUUCAACACUCGAUAACUUGCAGCUGGCUUGUUAAUAGGACAAUAUUUUCAAUUUUUAAAGAUUAAAUCGAGGUCAAGGGGCAUAAGUUUGGAUAUGUUUAAAGCCAAUUUAUAGAAUUAUUUCUCGAGAAAGCCUUAUUAGUUGGAUUUCUCUAACUCUUAUAACUAGACAAAUUAGUUCCAAAAUUAUACAAAGUAAAUUCAUAUGCAGUUUUUAAUUUCAUAAAUAGCUUUUGGCCUUUCAAAAAAUUGUCUCAAAGGAGCCUCAAUACAGUGCUACAUGUUGAAUAUAAAUAAUUAACAUUUUUGUUAGAGAAGUAUUAACAAAUAAUUAUAAUCUAAUAUUCAUCACGUCCCAUUUAGUACUCCGCAGUAAUACUAAAACUGCACGACAAAUUUCAUAGCUAGAAUAACAACUGUAUAGAAUAAACAUAGGAAACAUGUUUCUCCGAUGAGCAUAUACAAAUAUUGUCGUAAUCCUGGUGAACUUAUUGGCAGGUACCUUCCACCAUAUACAUCAUUUCUACCAGUUAAGGGGGAUGAACAUAGCUCUCUUGAGCAUGAGGGGACAGAGAGAAGAAGAAAGUGGAUUGCUGAAAGUCUCAUAUUUUCACAGCUUUCUUAUCUCGUUAUCUUUAUUAUUCUCAUUUGUAUUACAGAAAGAAAGAGCAUAAAAGAAGAUCCCAUCAACUUCAGUGUGCUCAAUAUCGUAAUCGAAGUUAUAAGGUAAAAUUUUACUUCUCUCGGUUUCUUUAAUUUGUACCAUGAUUAUAUUUAAUCACAGUUUUGUUCUCCCAACAAAAAUUCGACCAUUAUUGACAGACUUAGGAAAAUCCAACGAUUACAACUAUUAGAAAAUUAAUAAGCACAAUCACCAUGAUUAUAUGUAACCUACCAGAGUACCAAAUUAAGUUGCUCAAUUUGGUGGCUUACCAGUCGACUUUCCAUUGUUGACAUGACAGCAAUAGUUGAGAAAAAGUCCCAUUUUCAUGAGAAAUAUCUGUUCUUUCAUACAUUGAUGGUCGGCAAUAAAUCUUUAAAUUGGUUUAUACAUUAAUUCAAAGCCAAAUAUUCAUUUUUUCACAGUCAUAACUACAACUUAUUUAUUAUCCAUGCAUUCUUAUUUAUAAAUUGAUUUAUAAAAUUGUCAAACUAAGACCAGAUAUUCCAGUAAUUUAUCUUGAUCACAAAUAACUCCUGAAUUGUAAUAAAUGAUUAAAUUCAAUUAAGGAGAUUUAAGUUACUCGGGUCCAGAACAGGAUCUGGCGGGAAGCACUUUAUCAUUGCCAUAAGAUUGCUGCCUCUUAGGUCUCCUCUACACAAUCAAGGGAAGUAGACUUUCUUCAUUUUCUAGUCUUAAUGGACAAGCAUGUUUGGGAAGUUGUGGAUUAGUGGGAAGUUCUUGUGACUCACUCGAAAUGCGAGGAGAAUGGUUUGGUAUAUUAUAAACAGUUUAUAAUAACUGAAGACAAAAACAGUUUAUUAAAAAAAAAAUUAAAAAAGAGAAACUAAAAUCUAAUAUGGUCCGCUUAUAUUUUUAUAAUGAAAGUCGAUAAUGAUGGAAGCAGCAAAAUUUUGUGUUAAUUUUAUUCUUUAUUAACUUGUGAUUUUGCAAUAUAAUUGCAGUGCUAAUGGAAAUGUGGGCUUCACAACUGGCUAUAGUUGUGAGCGUCAACUACGGCCUCAAGCAAAUUGUACGAACAAAUGGUAUGGAUUUUCCGGAAAAUGGAGUGAUGAGGGAAAAAUAAUUCUCAUUCUUGUCAUGUUUUCUGGAAGACUGAAAAAAUUCAAUAUGAAUGGAGGUAAAGCAUGGAAGCUCUUGUAAGUGAAAAAUGGCACAAAUUUUUGUACAAAUAGGCCAAAAAAAAUAAAAUAAAAAGUAUUAAUAAUACUUGGGUCAAUCGCUUUCCUUACUCUUAAAACUGUUUAAUUUAGAUCACGGGCUAUUUAAUUAAGUCCACACCAAAAGCUUGUUUGCCUUUACUUGUUUACAGCAGGCAAUUGAAAAACCCAAUGGAAAACCAUGAGUUAACACAAUUCAAGUUUAUCUCUAAUCCUUAUUCUUAAAACAAAUUUUGAGAAUAGUAAUGCAGGAUAGAAUCUUUUUCAUCUUUGAGGGUAUCUGGAGUCCCAAAAUAAAUAAAUAAAUAAUCUGUUCAUUAUGAUACAACACAAGCAAUGAUAUUCUUCUUGAAUAAAUUUGAAAAAUUAACUAAACUUGAUGCAUCACCAUGUCACUGUGUAUCUUCAUUGUCCCCAACUAACUAUUUUCUUGAGUGCGAAUUUAUAAAUCAAAUUAAAUGAUAUAACAAGCAACCUAGUACAACAACAACAUUAGGGGUGCAUUUGAUUGCAAACAUGAAAUUUGCAAAGAAAAUAAAUUCUAAGCAAUUCAAUUACCUAGAAUUUAUAUGCACAGAAAUUGUCAAUUAAGCCCUUGUUUGAGCCCCAUUUUUUUUAAAAAAAAAAAAAUUACAUUCUUAAACAGUGUAUUGACAUUAUUUUCACACACAUUCUUAAAUAAAAUAAUAUUACACGUAAAUCUAAAACUCUUACUUAUUUUUUAACCACACAUUUCCCAUCAAUACACUAUUCAAAAAUUUAUUUUCUCUCGAAAAUGGGGCUCAAACAAGACCUAAAUAUUUUUGAUUGAUUUAAUUUUCAACCUAAAAAAUAUUAUGAUUGUCCAUUUUUAUUUGUGUGUAAAUGAGAGAUAGGGGAUAGAUAAGAGAGAGAAAGAGAAAGUGAAUUCCCCGGAAAAUAAAAUUUUACUUUUUUUUUAUUUUGAAAAAAAUAUUGCCACAUGAUCAAAAAUAGGAAAAUAUUUUUCUUGAAAAAAUGUCAAUCAAACAGUCUAAAAGUAGGAAUUUGGAUGAAAAAAAUAACUUUUCCAUGAAAAAUAUUGACAAUCAAAUGUAUUUUAAAAGUUACAAUAGCUAGAUGGGACUCGACUCAAUCUCAACUACAAUGCCAAGGGCCAAAGCUCAUCAAAGUCGUGUGUGAGGUCUAAAUGGACGAACUUUUUGAUGAUGUCACCACAUUAACCCUUCAUGAGUUGUGCAACUCACUAAGCCCUAGAUUGGUGCCUAUUGUUUGUAAACUCGUUUUGCCACAGAAUUAUUUUCAAUCACAUACUCACAUAAUAAAAUAUUUUGCACAUAAAUUUUUUGUAUUUUUAACCACACAUUUUUCUACAAAUAUUAUUUCAAAUUCUCUCUCUCUCUCUCGAAAUAAUGGGUAUAAAACAGAGACUAAAUUUCAAUAUGGUGGCGUUACUCUAAGUUACAUAAUGUCCACGCAAUGGCUGACGACAAAAGCGUGCUUCAUUCCACCACUGAAUUGUCGGGCUAGCUUGUGGAGAACCGGUUGGAAUUUAUGGGACAAUUUUUAUGGGUGUGAAUUGGAAAAAUCUUAAAUUAGUGUGAUGAUUAGUCGUGACUCAUCAAAUGGAAAUGGCUUAUAUCAAGGAGUCAUUUCAUUUUGGAUUGGGUGUGACUAUUCGAAAAUGUACAUUAUAAAAUGUCAUGAAUGUGUGAUUCAAUGAUCCACAUUAAUUAAUGUAAAAAGAUGCAACAACUUCAAAAAGCCACUUGAAAAUCUAUAAAUGGGGCCCCUAAUGUCAAAUUUAUUACACCCUAUCAAUUCAAGAAAAAAUCAUUUCUAAAAUUCUAUUCUGUCUUCAAAAUAUUCUGAUGUUUUUAUUUUGCUGAAAUUAAAUUUCAUUUGAAUUAUUUAUGGAUAUAAAAUUUCGUCCGAGCAAUUUUAGUUUGUGUCUAUUCCCUGUACAAAAAAUUGUGAUUUAGCAAUAAGAUAUUUCGCGACAUAAAAAAUGUUGCCACAAAAAGUGAUUUAGCACGACACAUUUUUAAAAUUUAUCGGAAAGGUUGUGUGGAAAAAAAAAAAAGUCCCAAAAAAAUAUAAGUCGACAUAAAAAGUUGUUGUAAAAUAUUAAAAUGUGCAACAAAUAAUAAAGAUUGUCAAAAAAAAUGAUGGAAGCAUGGCGCCAAAAUAGUUUUUGGUGGGAAACUUAUGGCAACAAACUUCUUCUUCUUCUUCUUUUUCUUUUUUUUUUUUUUUUUUUUU
rnacentral:lncRNA from 1 species